UACGAAGGGGGCUAGCGUUGCUCGGAAUCACUGGGCGUAAAGGGUGCGUAGGCGGGUCUUUAAGUCAGGGGUGAAAUCCUGGAGCUCAACUCCAGAACUGCCUUUGAUACUGAGGAUCUUGAGUUCGGGAGAGGUGAGUGGAACUGCGAGUGUAGAGGUGAAAUUCGUAGAUAUUCGCAAGAACACCAGUGGCGAAGGCGGCUCACUGGCCCGGUACUGACGCUGAGGUGCAAAAGCGUGGGGAGCAAACAGG
rnacentral:rRNA from 1 species